rnacentral:rRNA from 1 species
UACGUAGGGUGCAAGCGUUAAUCGGAAUUACUGGGCGUAAAGCGUGCGCAGGCGGUUUUGUAAGUCAGAUGUGAAAUCCCCGGGCUUAACCUGGGAACUGCAUUUGUGACUGCACGGCUAGAGUGUGUCAGAGGGGGGUAGAAUUCCACGUGUAGCAGUGAAAUGCGUAGAUAUGUGGAGGAAUACCGAUGGCGAAGGCAGCCCCCUGGGAUAACACUGACGCUCAUGCACGAAAGCGUGGGGAGCAAACAGG